CCAAAUUGAAUUCCCUUCAAGUAAAGAAGACCUUGAUGAGUACAGAAAGGAGAUAGCACGCACAGUUCUUGAAGAGACAGAUGAUCUGUCAGAAAUGUGUCUCUACUGCGGCUUGCAAGAUGGGACAAAGCCGAAAAGAGUAAGACCAAUAAACAUGACUCCACCAUCAACUGGAUACAAUGCGAACAUUGCUGCAGGUGGUUCCAUCAGGAAUGUGUUGGGAAUGAGGAGGACUUCCUUUGCCCAGCAUGCACUUACUCUGACCUGGUACAAUUGGUUUUAAUUAAUUAAUGAUUUUAAAGAUUUAAAAUAGAUGAGAACAGACAUCCCCAGAGUGCAUUUAGGUGUCAUUGGAGUGAUUUUCAGUCAAAAAGAGAGCGGUCACAGAUUUCGGUAACCUCUUCUGAUGCAUUAGGAGAUUUGGUGACCGUGCAUUAUGUGAAUGGGUGUUAACCUCAGGUCCAAAUGAUUUUAAAGAUAUAAAAUAGAUGAGAACAGACAACACCAGAGUGAAUUUAGGUGUCAUUGGAGUGAUUUUCAGUCAAAAAGAGAGCGGUCACAGAUUUCGGUAACCUCUUCUGAUGCAUUUUCAUAUUUGGUGACCGUGCAUUAUGUGAAUGGGUGUUAACCUCAGGUCCAAAUGAUUUUAAAGAUAUAAAAUAGAUGAGAUCAGACAUCACCAGAGUGAAUUUAGGUGUCAUUGGAGUGAUUUUCAGUCAAAAAGAGAGCGGUCACAGAUUUCGGUAACCUCUUCUGAUGCAUUAGGAGAUUUGGUGACCGUGCAUUAUGUGAAUGGGUGUUAACCUCAGGUCCAAAUGAUUUUAAAGAUAUAAAAUAGAUGAGAACAGACAACACCAGAGUGAAUUUAGGUGUCAUUGGAGUGAUUUUCAGUCAAAAAGAGAGCGGUCACAGAUUUCGGUAACCUCUUCUGAUGCAUUUUCAUAUUUGGUGACCGUGCAUUAUGUGAAUGGGUGUUAACCUCAGGUCCAAAUGAUUUUAAAGAUAUAAAAUAGAUGAGAUCAGACAUCACCAGAGUGAAUUUAGGUGUCAUUGGAGUGAUUUUCAGUCAAAAAGAGAGCGGUCACAGAUUUCGGUAACCUCUUCUGAAGCAUUAGAGAUUUGGUGACCGUGCAUUAUGUGAAUGGGUGUAAUCCUCAGGUCCAAAUGAUUUUAAAGAUAUAAAAUAGAUGAGAACAGACAACACCAGAGUGAAUAUACAACGUCAUCAAAAGUUUUUAAAAACGUGUUAUUCUUUGUAAAAUAUGUAGGCUACCCUUGGACAGAAAUAGCCAGAGGAAAAAACGUAAAGAAAUUUUAAAACAAAACAACAACCGUCAUGAUAAUAAAGAAUGUAAUCGGGUCUUGUCUUUUAAA